UGGUGGCGAUAGCGAAGAGGUCACACCCGUUCCCAUCUCGAACACGGUAGUUAAGCUCUUCAGCGCCGAUGGUAGUUGGGGGUUCUCCCCCUGCAAGAGCAGGACGUUGCCAGGCA
rnacentral:rRNA from 1 species